GUUUCGAAUCAUUCACAAUGGGCGAAAGCCUGAUGGUGCGACGCCGCGUGAGGGAUGAAGGUCUUCGGAUUGUAAACCUCUGUCACCGGGGAAGAACCGCCGUCCGUAAACAGCGGACGGCCUGACUUAACCCGGAGAGGAAGCAGUGGCUAACUCUGUGCCAGCAGCCGCGGUAAUACAGAGACUGCAAGCGUUAUUCGGAUUCACUGGGCGUAAAGGGUGCGCAGGCGGCCGAGUGUGUCAGGUGUGAAAGCCCGGGGCUCAACCCCGGAAUUGCGCCUGAAACUGCUCGGCUAGAGUGCCGGAGAGGGUAGCGGAAUUCACGGUGUAGCAGUGAAAUGCGUAGAUAUCGUGAGGAACACCAGAGGCGAAGGCGGCUACCUGGACGGCAACUGACGCUCAGGCACGAAAGCGUGGGGAGCAAAAGGGAUUAGAUACCCGGGUAGUCC
rnacentral:rRNA from 1 species